UGGAAACCUUCUGGCUCACUUGAGACUGCCCUUACUAGGGAAGAAGCUCCUGAGAGUCAUCAGAAGUACAGCUGAAAAGCCAAUAUCAGCACCAAUGGGAUGCACCUCUAGGCUCUGCAGCUGACAAACUCUCAAGUGGAAUGGCCUUCUGAAUCUUCAAUACCGUGAUGCCAUGCCAGCCUACCUGUGCUCUGAAAUUUAUAUGACCCAGCCUCAGGAAACUCAAUUAUCUUGAUGGGAAGCCACAUCGACCCAGCUCCAUAUCAUUAUGAAAACUGAUUUUUGCAAGACAAAAAAAAAAUAUCCAAGAAUAAAGCACAUAUAGACAGAAAUCUGGAAUAAGUUCCUGAUUAAUUUAUAAUUAUUAAAAGUGAACAUCUCAGCUGAUAUGGAGAUAAUUGAGGUUUGUCUGUAAUGAUUCAGCUGGUCCAAUUUUGGAAUCUAUUUAUCAUACACCAUGUGUUAGAGAUCAACAGCCAAAUCCAGGUUGGGCUUUAGCAAUCCCAGUCUGGUUCCCUUCUUUAUUUCUCCACUAACAUGUGGUGAGGAGCAUGCUUCCACUUCUCUCUUUAUGUUUUUUAGUUUUGGCUCCUGAUCUAUAGUGGGCGACUGUGAAGACGAGAACACACAUGUACUACAAGGAACUUCUGCAUGCACACGAAGUCCUCCGACUUCUAGAAUAUGAAAAUCCCCCACCUCCGUCAGCUUGCAAUAAGCUAGAAAUGAAGAGAACUGUAGCCUCCCAAGCACAACUGUAAAAUUCUAAUUAAAAAAUUGAUUGAUGAAGAAACAAAGAUAGUGUCAUUUAACACUGGCCAGCUGUUUGCCAAACCCAUUUACUUUUCCUCCUGGGCAUGUGGUUAAAGGACGUUUUCCAGUCUGCAAUAAACUGAUGUCUUGACAGUCUUUUAACCAGUGGAAUCUGAGUGGAAAUGACGUAUACUACCUCAAUGCCUGGCAAUAAACAUUUUUGGUGCCUCAAUCUCCAUGAUUUUUCCCUUGCAUAGCUUGAUGCAGAUGUACAUAGUCACUUGGAAGCCACAUGUUGAUGACAGAGCCAUAAGACCAAAGGAUCCUGGGUCCUUGAAUCACUACUUGCAGAAGAACUGGCGAGUGCUUAAGAACACCUCUUUUAGACUUUAUAUGAGUGCAUCAUCUCCCACUGGUCUCCUGCCCUGCUUCACACCUGAAGGCCACAAUAUUGAGUGACGAAAAAGUCAGCGGAUAUAAAGAGUGAAAGAUAUGAGUCAGCGAACUUGGGAAAAUAUGAAGCAAGAGGAAGAAAGAGAAGACAAGUAGAAAAGCGUAGAGAAAAAU
rnacentral:lncRNA from 1 species